GAGUUGGAUACUGUUAAAGCGCAAUUGUAAGUGCUAGUCUCCUAUAUUGCUUCUAAAGAAGGAGGUAAAAUUCCAGUGGAAUUGGCUGGAAUGUUCCCUACUCAACAAAUUUCAUAGGGAUUGAAUCAAGAGAGUGAGAUUCUAUCACCAAGAGAGUUAGGAAGUAGGUCUUCUAGAGCGAGCAACAAAGAAGCAUGAUCUUGUAUGAUAAAGAUUUUAUGUAUUAAGUAUUAUAAAUAUAUGUUAAGAAGAAUUAUUGAAAAAUGUUAUCUUUGAUAC